AAAUGCGAUAAGUAAUGUGAAUUGCAGAAUUCAGUGAAUCAUCGAAUCUUUGAACGCACAUUGCGCCCGCCAGUAUUCUGGCGGGCAUGCCUGUUCGAGCGUCAUUACAACCCUCAGGCCCCCGGGCCUGGCGUUGGGGAUCGGCGGAAGCCCCCUGCGGGCACAACGCCGUCCCCCAAAUACAGUGGCGGUCCCGCCGCAACUUCCAUUGCGUAGUAGCUAACACCUCGCAACUGGAGAGCGGCGCGGCCACGCCGUAAAACACCCAACUUCUGAAUGUUGACCUCGAAUCAGGUAGGAAUACCCGCUGAACUUAAGC
rnacentral:misc_RNA from 1 species